GCAGCAAGCCGACGCCAUUCCUUCCCCAACUCUCUGCACCAGCACCUUCCCAUGGCGCAGGGUUCCCAGGCGUCCAUCCUCUCUCCCUUCUUCCCUUGUGCAGGCGCCCCCAUCUCCUCCCCUUUUCUGCAGCAAGCAGCGCCCAGCUGAGCCCCGUCCACUCGCCCAGCCCUAUCUCCCUCACGGCGCCCUCGCUGGUGCUCGCCCCCCCUGCUGGACGCCGCUCCUCACCCUGGUGGCCGAGCUCUCCCAUGGACGUCAGCCCUCAUCCUCAGGUUGCCCCUCCCAAGGCGUUUGUUCCUGCCCAACCAUGGACGCGCCCCUCCCUUUUGCUGCUCGUCGUGGACAGGCUUGGCGCCCUAAUCCUCAGGUUGCCCCUCCCAUGACGGUCAUGGUGUCAUCUGUUAUCGGAGGAAAAAUCCCUAGGAAUCCGAAGGUGAUGAAGUGAUGCCCCAGUGCAGCGCCUGGUAGGUGUCCGGUGGAACGCCUAAGCCAGGACUAUUGUCGUUCUUAUGAACCUGGUAUCGAUUGAGGUACGCUAGUUGAUCACGUGAUGCAGAAUUCAAGAAUUGAGUUGAUCUCAAGAUGAUGAAAUGAUGAACUACUCCGACAAACGAUGUCUGUGAAUCAAUCCUACUACUAUACAGGUUCUUAGAGAAAACGUUUAUUGUGCAAUAAAUGAUGGAAUUAUCAACCUUAUUGACAAGGUAUGUUAAUCUUCAAAGAAGUAGACAUUUGUCUAUGUUGCACUGAGCUAUUUCUUCUUAUUCUUACUAUUUUCUAUUGCCUAUGAAAAAUAUACCUGGAUUGCGUCAAGCUUCAGGAGUAAAUUCAUAAUAGUUUCACCUAUGGCCACUUGCUCUUUUUGUGUUGGCUUACUGCAAGAAUCUAAAAGGCAUUGAAUCUGCUUCCUCACAACUUGCAUCUGUUCAUGCACAUGCUUGAUCUUCCUGAGCUUAUCCAAAGGUUGCCAUUUUCGAACAUCAUACCCUCUGUAGGCAGACUGAAUACGAACUGCAACAUCUGAUUCUGACAAAUUAACUCCAUAUGUUCUGGCAUCAUCUUUCGCAGUUUCACUUUCAAUCACUGUCCCAUCUUCAUUUUUUCUUUUGUCACAUCCAUUCAAGCUUCCUGCACCAGCAUUUUCUUGCACAUGAUCUUCCUCUAUGCUCUUCAGGGCUGCAUUUUCUUGAUCACCAACUGUAGUGCUAGCAGCUUGGACCUUUUGGCCAUCUUUACUUGUGGGAGCUUCUUCCUCCUGCAGAUGUUCAACAGAAGCAACUUCCACUGUUUCAUUUCUAAACCCAACUUCCUUCUUCAUUUCAUAAGGCGAUUUUUCUUUCACUUCAGACACAGUGAUAUCCUUACUUGUACUAGACUGUUUAGGCUCCAGGAUCUGGCUCUGGGCCUCCUCCACGUCCUUCUUCGUGUUGUCAGUAUCCUUCCUUGGUGGACUAGGAGACCUAGAAGAAUCAUUUCCAGGUUUCUUUCUUGGCAAGGGAUCCACACGUAAGCAUACUGGGGGCAAUUUUGAAUGCUUAACUACUGAUGAGUCAUUGUGUUUUGUUUUCCUGUUCUCUUCAACCAUUUCAGCACUGUUGGCCUCCUUUAACUCCCUCUUUUCCCUCAUGCCAAUCUUCUUCUCAUCACUUUCCUUUAUGACCGGAAUGGUUCUGUAAGUACUGGCCUUCUUUUCAUUAAUCUCUUUCUCUGGCACAACUGGAAUGGUCUUGCAGUUUUCCCUUGGAGGUUUCUUCCCAUCGUGUAUGCUCUUAGGCACAACUGGAGUGAUUUUAGGGUUUCCUUCUAGUAUCAUGCUGUCUUGAUGGUCAGUAACCACAGGUGAUCCGUUGUUGUGGUCUCCAGAACCAUUUCUGGCAGCCGAUUUCUGAUCAUGAUGAUGACCAUUCCCAAACCAAGACAGAUGAAUGAUCUUGGGUGAUUGAGGAGACACUUCAGAAAUCUUUGGGGGAUUUUGGGGUCUCUUCUGUGUCAUUCAUCUCUUUAGCCUUUUGGUUUGGUGCAUCAUACCCUGCUGGCAUCCAAACUAUUGGCCACUGGAAUUGUUUCCCCUUCUCAUUAUCCUGCCCUUGUUGCUUCACAUCCCCUAACCACUUCCCACUCACAGGAGCCCAUUCAUUUAAAACCUGAGGUGACAAUUCAUAAUGCUCUCCAUUCUCCUUGCCUUUCAUAUUGCCUGAUGGCAGCCAUAUGAAUGGAUACUUCUUGUUUGGGUGUUGAAUUAUACUGUCACUAUCAGCAUUCUUGUAGAUAAUCUUUUUAUCUUGUUUGUGUUAAAAUUUCAUGACCAUAGGUGUAGUAGUUUAUGAGUUAUGAUUUUUCCAAGUCCAGUUUCAGAAUCUGUCCAAAUUCUGUAUAGGUUUCGAAAAUUGGAUUGUUUGGCUAAGCUAAACUGAGAAUCAGCCCUUAGUAAUUAUAGAAGAAUUGUAGUACUUUCCUUAAGCUUUCCAACAAAUUUUGGAGCACCCUUUUUGGUGGUCUAGAGAUCAAGUUACAGCUGUUUGAACUAUAGAGUCUGAAUCUGUCCAAAUCUUGACAGCGAAGUCUGUUUGUAGUAACUGACUUUGAUAUGUAUUGUAUUAACCUGAGAUAUUUAUAAAUGAAUUGUAGACAAUUCUAUUAGCUUUCUAAAAAGUCUAGGAUCACCUGAUUUGGAUGCCUGAAACUCCAGUUAUGAUUUUUUUGAAGUGAGUAGCCGAAUUCUGUCCAAAUCUGGACAGAAUUAACGUUUAGCACUGUUUGACCUUUCAAACUGUCGAAUCAUGUUGUGAUGAUAAUAUAAGAGUUAUAGAGGACUUUCUAAGCUUUCCAGAAAGUCCUAGUUUACUAUUUUUGGAUGCAUAUUUUGUGAGCUAUGAAUAAAACAAUUAACCGCUGUGCUGCUGUCUAAAAAUUCUGCAAGUAUUAAAUUGUUGGCUUGAAGUUACUAUUGUUUGGCUAAGUAAGUUUAGCUGAUUCUUAAUUGGUGAAGUAAUGCUUUGUUUUAGUAAUUAUCAUGUUCUAUGGUUGUUGAUUGAGUAAAUAUCAUAAAUGGAGAUUGGUCGCUUAAGUUAAUCAUCUUGAAUAAAUGUUCCUCAUUAUCCUUAUUAGUUCGAAGCAAAUAGCAUCAAUAGGUUUAUUCCAGUUGUAAUCCGAGAGCUAUAUAGUGGAAAGUGCAUUUAGGCGUUUAAAGUCUUUUGCUUCUAGGUUAUAGUCAAAUGAGAUUAUGUAAUAUUUGAUGAUGCUCUACUUGCUAGGACAAAUAGUGUGAUGUGUUAGCUAUGCUAGUUAAUCCGAUGAAAUGGUUUAAAAAGUUAGUUAAAGUAUUUCUAUUCAAAUUCGAAGCUGUAGAUGUCCAAGGCUAAUAAGUUUAAAUUAUGGUAAUCGUUUGGUGUAUGUUCUAGUUAAAGAAGAUCCAUACAUGGUUCACGAUUGUUUGGUGUUUAAGUUAGGUUUGAUUGAUUAGAAGAUCAUGCUUGUUGUGUUAGAGUUAAUGUAUCUAGUGAUUACUUAUGCUUGCUUAUAAUGCUUUGCUAGAGAAUGUUUAAUCCUAUACCAUAUAACUUCAUAUAAUAUUGUACUAGUUCUUAUGUUCAUACAUGUGCAUUGUACAUCCAAAUAGGUACGCUAGCUGAAAAAUCGUGCGAAGCGAAGGGUGUGGAUCAAAACAACCCACAAGACAAUGUGAGGUGUUCAUAUGUGUCUAACUAAAAAUUUGUAAUCUUCCUCUCCACCAACUGAUUGUUAAUUUUCUAUCCUGGCAUUACUCCUUACCAUAUACACAACAAAAUAUAAUCUGUUCAUUUUUGGCUAAUGUUACAGGUUGCCCAAAGUUUAAUGUAUUCAUUUUUGGCUAAUAUUACAUGUUGGCCAAACGCUUGGAACAAUGGAACUAUUGCAAAUUCCUUUUUACAGACUACAACUUCUAUCGAACUAGGUGGUCAAGGCUCAGGAUUCAGAGUAGAAGAUGCACAUAAAUACUGGUGAAUGAUGCCAUCGACGAUGAUGAACUGAUGAAACGAUGGAUGAUGCCAUCGAUGAAAGAUGGAAUGGAACUCAAAUUUUGGUGGUCGCACAAGUGUGGAGACUUGAAUUCAUAUAUACUUAGUUAGGCUCAAUGUUAGCACAAACAGUUGAUGAGCAAGUUUUUCCAUUAGUAGUUUAGUUUGAAUUUAGAGUACAAUUAUGUAUGAGUUAUUUGACAGUGCUUAUUUAUGAGAUAUUGAAUGAUAUUUAUCUAUAUUGUAUUAAUUAUAGUGUU